rnacentral:rRNA from 1 species
UACAGAGGUCUCAAGCGUUGUUCGGAUUCAUUGGGCGUAAAGGGUGCGUAGGAGGGCAGGGAAGUCCGUGGUGAAAUCUCCGAGCUUAACUCGGAAACUGCCGUGGAUACUCUCUGUCUUGAAUCCCGUGGAGAUGAGCGGAAUAUGUCAUGUAGCGGUGAAAUGCUUAGAUAUGACAUAGAACACCAAUUGCGAAGGCAGCUCGUUACACGAAGAUUGACUCUGAGGCACGAAAGCGUGGGGAUCAAACAGG